UAUGACGUUGGCAGUUCUUUUGGUGUAUGUAGUUUUACAAAUCGAAAUCUGUUGAACGUGGAACAACUGUUGCUCAGAUAUUGCAUAAGUGGCGAAUAGCAGUUUCUUAUACGCUACUUUGCCUAACGAUAGUAUUGUACGAGAUGAAAAAAAGUUUUAAAAGACUUCUGUUUGAGUUGUUGACUUUAUAUGAAACGAGCAUUACAGUAAUAUAAUUACAUAAUUACGGAAGAAAUAAAUUAUCUCCGAAUGCGCGUACCCCUCGACACUGAAUUGAAAAUACUGGACACUGUACGUUCGUCGACGUUUUUGUUUUCCAAUAAUUUCAGAUUUCGUUGCCGUGAGUGUAGUCAGCCUUCUUAAGCGGCUUUGUGUACGAAAAUUCUUAUUACUAUGCAAGAUUACUACUGCAUUGUGCAGACCCUAGAGGCCAGUCGACCAGUCAUUACCGUAGUUCCCCAUAAAUGGAUUAAUGGUCAAUAUUUACUGUGGCCCCCAAAGAAAGCUGAAGAGCUGAUGAAAAAUCGUUCAAGUAAACCCCAGCAAAAUUGGACUAAAAUUCCUUGUACAGUAAAAAGAAAGUUCAUUCCAUCACGGAAGCCGAAAUCGAAGCUGAAUACUUAUCCGGAUACACAACCGACACAUGUGACAUACCAUUACUCCCGUGAAAGAGAAGUAAGAACAAGGCAGAGCAAAAGGUGCAAGGCUUGGAUCUCAACUACCUUCUCAAAAAUAAUGGUUGGUUCCACUAUAAAUUUUGUUAAAAAUGAAAAAUUUCUAAAACGCCAUUCGACUAUUAUCUAAACCUAUCCUAUUUAAUAGAAGAAUCAGAAUUUUUGGUGGUUGGUAAUAUCCUGACACUUAAUGCUAAUAAUGAUCAAAAGAUAUUAUCGCCCACACUGUCCAUAUUUUUUUUUUUUUAUUCUCUUUUAUUUUCCGUCGGUCUAGUUCUGCCACUGUUGUGGCCAAUCACCGACGCCCAGGGAGGCGACUCCACACCCAGGACCCUAACUCACGACCCGUUUAUUAACGGACCGGCGCCAACGGCUUUACUUCCUCAUGCGAUGGAAGGCGUGAUCCCAGAGAUUUUUCGCCUCAGAAAAUCUCCCGGUGUCGGCUAGGAUUGAAUCUAGACCAGUUGGGUUGGUUGUGAGUGGAUCACGCCACCUCACAACCAUCGACACCUAUGUCGGCGGUGGGAUUCGAACCCAGGCGUCGAGCGUGGUUGGCGGAGGCCCCCGCUCUACCACAAAAGUUUACUUCCUGCAAAAAAUUUCGUGACACUUCAAAAAAACUGGAAAUUAGACAAAACUAACUGUAAAAGGGACCUCGAUAUAUUACUUGGCCCCCGGGCCCCCACAACCCCUGAUCGGGCCCUGUUUAAGACAAUUAAUAUUAUCGACACCUCUUAAGUUUUUUAAUUUAAAUACAAAACAUAUUUAAAAUUCUGAAUUGUUACUUUUUUCACUCACCGUUAUUCAGAAUUAUGAUUCAAAACCUCAACACAUAUAAAUUUUUGUAACACCUAUUUAUUUUAUCUAAUAAUCAUAUUAUCUUUAUUAUGAUAUUUAUAAUAUUUACUUUUCUAGUUCUGAAUAACAAUGCGCCAAGCACAAUAGAAGUUCCUCUUGCCAUGGGUUCAACAUUCAUCCCCCAGUUUCCACUUGUAGGAUUUCCAUCAUAUGGAAUACCAUUACCUCCAGUUCCCCCUGCUUUAGAUACAUUGACUGACGAAGAGCUAAGAGCUAUGGAGGGGGAUGAGCGUCGUCAUGUAUGUAUGCGGUUAAGGGUAUGUUUUUGUUGUCAUUAUAUUCAAUUACUUUACUAUUUGGAUCUUAUGGCAUCUUCAAAAUAUUCGAACUCUUAUGGAUGCUUCCAUAUCCUUAAUGAAUCAAUACACCGCUCUGGUGUCUCGAUUACCGCCGUACCAUGUGGCAACUCAUUCUGAUGCAGCGAGGAACACUGAUGAAAUAGUUUCUCCAGAUCCAGGUACUACCGAAACACUAACUCAUCGGGUUAGUCCAGAUUCAUCGAAUACAUAUUCAUUAUACCCUCAAGAAUCCACCACUGCAAAAUUAGAAGACUUAGGUAGUGAUGAUGAACCCGGGACAGUCAAAGUACAUCUUCCCAGCACGAGCAAGGAAUUUCUAAUCACACCAGAUCAGCAACAACAACCUGCUUCACAGGCAUCUAACACCGUAGCUAGUAGAAGCAAAGGCAAUUCUUUAUCUGACAGUUCUGAAAGAAGUGAAAUCCGUCGCAGGAGAUUGGAGAAAUUUGAUACCCGAACCAAUUCCGAUUAAAUAAUUAAAGAUACUGGAUACGGUGGUGAUAUUCCAGCAACUAAUGUAGGAGACAAAACCAAUGUAACGAUUGCAAUUUUUUGCUAAAUUGAGAAGCUGUGAAAUGAAGAAAAAAAACUUAUUGUAUGGUGAACUCAAACGAUGUUUACCCUAUUCAUCAUAUUUCGUGAAUUCAAAGAAGUAGUAAACACUAUGUUAUUCACUACAAUUAUAUGAUAUUAAAAAGCAUUUUUUUUGCGUUUAGCAGAAUUUGCCAAUA